AUUCACGAAUCUCUGUAUCUGAAUGAGGCUUCCGGCAGACAGGCAACCACAGCAGUACGGCCCUGCUUUGUUUGCUGUGUGUCGGAGUCCUCAUCCAGGACUCCUCGACCUGGCAGCC
rnacentral:precursor_RNA from 15 species